AUUGAACGCUGGCGGCAGGCUUAACACAUGCAAGUCGAGCGGGGUGAUGGUGCUUGCACUAUCACUUAGCGGCGGACGGGUGAGUAAUGCUUAGGAAUCUGCCUAUUAGUGGGGGACAACAUCUCGAAAGGGAUGCUAAUACCGCAUACGUCCUACGGGAGAAAGCAGGGGAUCACUUGUGACCUUGCGCUAAUAGAUGAGCCUAAGUCGGAUUAGCUAGUUGGUGGGGUAAAGGCCUACCAAGGCGACGAUCUGUAGCGGGUCUGAGAGGAUGAUCAGCCACACGGGGACUGAGACACGGCCCAGACUCCGACGGGGGGCAGCAGUGGGGAAUAUUGGACAAUGGGGGGAACCCUGAUCCAGCCAUGCCGCGUGUGUGAAGAAGGCCUUAUGGUUGUAAAGCACUUUAAGCGAGGAGGAGGCUCUUUUGGUUAAUACCCAAGAUGAGUGGACGUUACUCGCAGAAUAAGCACCGGCUAACUCUGUGCCAGCCGCCGCCGUAA
rnacentral:rRNA from 1 species